AUGUCUCUGUGACCCGCAGCCUGGAGGAGCUCAGCCUGGCCUGGCAGGUGGAUGGUGACUACAGGGCCACCGAGAAGACUCAGCAGGCCUGCCCAGGACAGAGCCCCACCUGCUGGGCCUUCUUCCAGGACCCCGCUCCAGCUUGGGGAACUGCUUCCCAGUGUUUGAGAUUUCGUCUAAACCAGCACUAGCCUGCCAAAGACUUCAAACUCCUUCACCUUCUACUCUACUUCCAGCUCCUUGACAAGGGCAAGAUUCUUGGCUGGGACAGAAUAACUAGCAUGGAAUGCU